GGUUGUAAACUUCUUUUCUCAGAGAAGAAGCAUUGACGGUAUCUGAGGAAUAAGCAUCGGCUAACUCUGUGCCAGCAGCCGCGGUAAGACAGAGGAUGCAAGCGUUAUCCGGAAUGAUUGGGCGUAAAGCGUCUGUAGGUGGCUUAAAAAGUCUCCUGUCAAAGAUCAGGGCUUAACCCUGGGCCGGCAGGAGAAACUCUUAGGCUAGAGUUUGGUAGGGGCAGAGGGAAUUCCCGGUGGAGCGGUGAAAUGCGUAGAGAUCGGGAGGAACACCAAAGGCGAAAGCACUCUGCUGGGCCAUAACUGACACUGAGAGACGAAAGCGAGGGGAGCAAAAGGGAUUAGAUACCCCUGUAGUCCUCGCCGUAAACGAUGGAUACUAGAUGUUGGGUAGGUUAAAUCACUCAGUAUCGUAGCUAACGCGUGAAGUAUCCCGCCUGGGGAGUAUGCUCGCAAGAGUGAAACUCAAAUGAAUUGACGGA
rnacentral:rRNA from 1 species